UGGACCCGGCGCUGCGCCCCCAGAUCUGCAUCGGAAUGCAGAAAAGAUCUUAAAAAAAAAAAGUUUUGAAUUCCUCAAUGAUUUUUCUUCUGGAAAGGCAGCUUAGGAUAAUUAUUUCAGCUUUAUUGAGGGCAGAUUAGUUGAAGUCUGGGCCCUGCGUUUCAAUACGCGUUGUACACGGGCCCACAAUGUGA
rfam:Oryctolagus cuniculus chromosome 2, whole genome shotgun sequence.